rnacentral:rRNA from 1 species
UGGGGAAUAUUGCACAAUGGGCGAAAGCCUGAUGCAGCGACGCCGCGUGCGGGAUGAAGGCCUUCGGGUUGUAAACCGCUUUUGAUUGGGAGCAAGCGAGAGUGAGUGUACCUUUCGAAUAAGCACCGGCUAACUACGUGCCAGCAGCCGCGGUAAUACGUAGGGUGCAAGCGUUAUCCGGAAUUAUUGGGCGUAAAGAGCUCGUAGGCGGUUUGUCGCGUCUGGUGUGAAAGUCCAUCGCUUAACGGUGGAUCUGCGCCGGGUACGGGCAGGCUAGAGUGCGACAGGGGAGACUGGAAUUCCCGGUGUAACGGUGGAAUGUGUAGAUAUC